GUGCCAGCCGCCGCGGUAAUACGUAGGGUGCGAGCGUUAAUCGGAAUUACUGGGCGUAAAGCGUGCGCAGGCGGUUGUGUAAGUCAGAUGUGAAAUCCCCGGGCUCAACCUGGGAACUGCAUUUGAGACUGCACGGCUAGAGUGUGACAGAGGGGGGUAGAAUUCCACGUGUAGCAGUGAAAUGCGUAGAGAUGUGGAGGAAUACCGAUGGCGAAGGCAGCCCCCUGGGUUACUACUGACGCUCAUGCACGAAAGCGUGGGGAGCAAACAGGAUUAGAUACCCUGGUAGUCCACGCCCUAAACGAUGUCAACUGGAUGUUGGAGGGGUUAAACCCUUUAGUGUCGUAGCUAACGCGUGAAGUUGACCGCCUGGGGAGUACGGCCGCAAGGCUAAAACUCAAAUGAAUUGACGG
rnacentral:rRNA from 1 species